GAAGUCGGGUGAGUGAAUGCAUGAUCGAUCUGAUGAUGAAUCGCUAGCCUGGGCACGCUUGUGUGUGGCAGCCUGGUACAAGCAUAAGCACGCUGUGUUCUGAUUGAAUGUAGGAGAAGUUUUUCCAUACACGACUGCACCAAUUUUCCCUAUAGUGACCUAUCAGACAUUAAAAACUCAAAAUGUGCCGUAAAAGUGAAAUUUAGCAGUAGAAAUUUUAAAGCAUUUUCUGAGAAUACACUCUUUCAGACGAGUCACAUAUACAUGUAAUGACGUAGGCCUAGCCUGGUUUGUGCACAGGGUUUCAAGUAACGGUCGUGUAUGGGAAUCUGUUCGAUUAUUCACUGGAAUGGGAAGGGGAAGGUGUUAUUUUCAUACUUGGCCAUUGUGAGAUGUUACUCAGCUAGUGGGUAUUUUUUUCUAAAUAUUAAAAUAAGUCUUCAGAGUUUUUUGCACAGCCUGUUUUUUUUGUGGUGCAGAUUUCUCUGGAAUUCUUUAUUAUAGAUCCUACAGGAUGCAUUUUCAGAAUAUGAUAGGAGGUAUACUCAUAGUCCAAACUUGGCAACAUCCCCAUUUCCUCAAGAUGCUGGCACUAGUACUAGUAGCAGUAAGUGUUUUCCCUCCAACACCCAAGAUGCUGGCAGUAGCAGGAAGGGUCGUGAUAAUACUUCCAACAAGGCUACAGAUGGACUUGUGAGUGAUGCUACUGAGGCAACAUCUGUACAGAUGCCACUCCCAGUUACAAAACAGGAUGAAGCCUCACAGACAAAUGCAAGAUGGUGCUGCAGAAUUGUCAGAAAUGAGGUCAAAAUAAAUGUCUGGCCAGGUGAAGCAAAUUGAACAACUACUAUUCCUUCAAAAGGACACAAACUAACCCAAAAAUGCUCCAUCCAGAUUCCAGAGGCAUUCAAACUCGUCCUUGUAUGAGAAGCGCCUUCACAGAAUGCUCCCUCGUAAAGGCAGAACCACUUAAGCUAUUUCCUCCACAAGGGUCUAGCCCUGUCACUUCCAGGCCAGUUUGCACCAUGUUCGUGGCUGAGGGGGGUUGCCACCAAGACUCGUCACACGAUCAAGACUCCAGUGACAGCGAAAACGUGCCCUCUUGAUAUGAAAGCAGUGAGUCUGGGUGUACCAGUCUGUCGGCCACUGGGAGGGACCAUGGUCGAAGUGAAGCAGACCUGCUGGAACACCAACUGCACCUUUGGUAGAACCUGGCGAAGUCAGCCACUGGUUGGUAACAUCGCAGCAGGCAAUCUGCUUCUGUCGGGUGCAAUCCUAACUGCUGGAUGUUCCCCAAAGAAAUUCAUCCAGGCCCUGAAUAACAUCAACUGUGCUAGCAUCAACUAUUCUACCUUCUUCAACCAUCAGUCAUGGUAUUAUAUGCCAGCCAUUGCUGAUACUUGGCAUUUUAGUCAAAAGCAGUUGGUGCUGAGCACUAGGCAACAGGAGGGUGGUGUUUUCCUCGGAACUGACACGUGUGCAGACAGCAUGGGCCACUCAGCAAAGUUUGGGUGCUAUAGCAUCCUUGAUGUCCGUGAGAACAAGAUUCUACACAUUGAAUUGGUGCAGGAGUGAAAAAAAAUUACUGAAGGUCAGCAAAAUGUCAUUGGAUUGCUGCUUCAACACCAGAUGGUGACAAAGAAGUCAUGCUGGCCAAGUUCGAAAGUGUCAUGAACCACAUGUACAACAUCCACGCCCAUAACAACCCCCUGUUCCCAGCAUGUGCACACGGUUCCCUGGAACUUAGAGAUUGGUUGACAUCUGGAACAAAGCCAGCUCAACAGGUUGCCAACAUCCUCGAAACAAAGAACCUGAAGAAAGAUAUGCAGAUGUUUUCUCCGAAAACGCAAAGAUCUUGUGUGGAGUCAUUCCACGCAUUGAUUGCUCGAUUUGCUCCGAAGAUGUAUGCGUACUCUUUUGGUGGAAUGUUGUGCAGAAUCUUUCUAGCAGCCCUGCAUUAUAACGAGAAUGCUGGAUGUACUCAGGCCAAAGAUGCUGAUAGAAACCUGCAACAUGUUCUUGUGUAUCCAAGAUCCAAACAAGAUUUGGGAGGUUAUACAGUUAGGAGGGUACUAGUUAACAGUACACACAUGUAUGAGGAACAAGUCGUCAAGAAGGCGAUUGGUCUAUGUCAGUGUGGAAACAAGACCAGCAAGAAAGAGUAUCCUCAGUUGCACUGUGACCCUGGUACAAUGGCCAGUACCAUGAGCCUGACACGGCCAAAAAAGGAGGAUGCAAUUCGACAGUUUGUGUCUCACUUCAAGACACAGACAACUCCUGUUGGCCGACCACUGCAGCCUGACAAGGAUGUGAAGCGAAAGAAACGUAGGAAAUGUGUGGAAAUAUAAGAGAAAAAUAAAUAAAUGCAGUGCACAAAAGAAAAGUAUUUCCAGCUAUUGUGUUUUAUAUUUCAACACAACAUUGUAUGAAUAGCGUACAUGUAUCUCUGAUUGGAUGUAUUACAUGAAAUGUUACUGCAUGCAAGGAUAUGAUUAACUGCAACUCCCUGUGCAUUUUUGAACUGCAAAAGCCUCUGACAGUGACUGAAGAUAGGUCAAGGCACAGAUGGUGACAUAUACUACUAUCACUAAUUUUCCUCUAUAUAUGUGCAGUUUAUCAUAAUGUUAAUAUAACUACAAAAAUAAGAAAUUGGCUUAGGUCAGUAAGUAAAAAAAAACAUGUUUAGCGUCCUGCCUCUGUGGAAAAAACCCUGUUUUUAUUACCAUACCUGGCUGGCCUAUAUUUCAAGAUGGUCACCAGUGUUUUUUAAUGGGUCCCACUUGGACUUGGUGCACGAAAAGAAUAUGUUCUUUGAUUUUUUUCACAUUUUUUAAACAAAAAAGGUGGCCUCAAAAGGAAGCAGGCCAAUUAAAAUUUGGGUGGCAUCUUCUGGAAUUAUCUAAUUGCAAACAUAUAGGGUGAUGUAAUAAAAAAGGGCAGUUUACUUGGAAAAGUAAAUAAUUCCUUCGUUAUAGCUAAUCGAGGGUCGAGUAUUUAAACCUUUGUAAUGGCCAUCUGGAUUAGGGUAAGUCCUACCAAUUGACUCCAUCACGCAAGACGGAAGUGGUACACGGUUGAAGCGGCCAAAUAUCCCCAACACCACCUCAAGACUUGUCUGUAGGCAACAUGGCAUAAUUUUCUGAAAUGAAAUAAAGUGUUAUGAUUGUUACUAUGUCCAUUUUCUCAUAGAAGAGAAAAUGUUACCAACCAUGUAAUUGCAUUUUGUUUCACAUCUACAUGUCGAUGGGAUGUAACACAGUUCUGACAAAAAAAGGACCACAAAAUAUUGAUUUUUUUUUUAAUGGGGGGUGCAUAUUUUUAUUUAAAUAAAGCCUGUGUAGGGAACUUAGACAGCAGAGGUAUGCUACUGCCACUGGCGUACUGAUUUAGAGGGCGGGGAGGGGGCUUGGGGAAUGCUGCCCCAAAUGAAAUUCCUUUUUCUCUUUUUAACUGAAACUCAAAAUGGCUGUUGCUGCCCCCAAAAUGAUUACAUAUGAAUCUGGAACUGAAAAAGAUUUCAAUUUGUUUAAAAAGGUGGUCCUGGACUCGAUAGAGUGAACUCGACCACUCACUGGUCAACUGUUACCUCGACGGCAUGUCUGCCAUAAUGCACUUGGAACUGCAUGUGUGCAGUGUGUAGAACAGCUGGAUGCAAGCAGACUGCUUGAGAAGAAGAAAUCAGAAAAUAUAGGCAAAGCGUCCGCACUUGAUUUUCACAAUACAUCGCAGAUUUAAAAAAUCACUUGGAGUUCGAGGAAGGAAAAUUUCAGAGUGAAAUUCCACAACACGCGCGGGCAGACAGACUGUUUGUAGUCCAGACGAAUUUCCGUCCAGAUUACACAAAAUUAAUGUGUGUCGGAAUAACACGCAAUACCCUGAUGUACUACAUUGUACACGGUUUUGUUGACCAACGUUAAAGUUGAACGUUAAAAUAAAAUAAAACGGAAGGUGAUAUCGUAUCAAUAUCGUACCAAUCUGUUUUAUAAGAUGAUUUGGGUCCCUUUCAU
rnacentral:lncRNA from 1 species